UAUAAAUGUCCCAGGUCAGAGAAUAUAAACGUUUCAGGUCAGAGAAUAUAAACGUUUCAGGUCAGAGAAUAUAAACGUUUCAGGUCAGAGACAAGAAAUGU